GACGAACGCUGGCGGCGUGCCUAAUGCAUGCAAGUCGAACGAAGCUGUUUUAACUGGUGCUUGCACCGACUUAAACAACUGAGUGGCGAACGGGUGAGUAACACGUGGGUAACCUGCCCCAAAGCGGGGGAUAACAUUUGGAAACAGAUGCUAAUACCGCAUAACAACAGAAACCACAUGGUUUCUGUGUCAAAGAUGGUUUCGGCUACCACUUUGGGAUGGACCCGCGGCGUAUUAGCUAGUUGGUAAGGUAAUGGCUUACCAAGGCAAUGAUACGUAGCCGAACUGAGAGGUUGAUCGGCCACAUUGGGACUGAGACACGGCCCAAACUCCUACGGGAGGCAGCAGUAGGGAAUCUUCCACAAUGGACGAAAGUCUGAUGGAGCAACGCCGCGUGAGUGAAGAAGGUUUUCGGAUCGUAAAACUCUGUUGUCAGAGAAGAACGUGUGCGAGAGUAACUGCUCGUGCAGUGACGGUAUCUGGCCAGAAAGCCACGGCUAACUACGUGCCAGCCGCCGCGGUAA
rnacentral:rRNA from 1 species